rnacentral:rRNA from 1 species
GAUGAACGCUGGCGGCGUGCCUAAUACAUGCAAGUCGAGCGAACAGAUAAGGAGCUUGCUCCCUUGACGUUAGCGGCGGACGGGUGAGUAACACGUGGGUAACCUACCUAUAAGACUGUAAUAACUCCGGGAAACCGGGGCUAAUGCCGGAUAACAUUUAGAACCGCAUGGUUCUAAAGUGAAAGAUGGUUUUGCUAUCACUUAUAGAUGGACCCGCGCCGUAUUAGCUAGUUGGUAAGGUAACGGCUUACCAAGGCAACGAUACGUAGCCGACCUGAGAGGGUGAUCGGCCACACUGGAACUGAGACACGGUCCAGACUCCUACGGGAGGCAGCAGUAGGGAAUCUUCCGCAAUGGGCGAAAGCCUGACGGAGCAACGCCGCGUGAGUGAUGAAGGUCUUCGGAUCGUAAAACUCUGUUAUUAGGGAAGAACAAAUGUGUAAGUAACUGUGCACGUCUUGACGGUACCUAAUCAGAAAGCCACGGCUAACUACGUG